UAGUAUUUCUCUUUUCUCUCU
rnacentral:miRNA from 1 species